GAUGAACGCUGGCGGCGUGCCUAAUACAUGCAAGUCGAGCGAACAGACGAGGAGCUUGCUCCUCUGACGUUAGCGGCGGACGGGUGAGUAACACGUGGAUAACCUACCUAUAAGACUGGGAUAACUUCGGGAAACCGGAGCUAAUACCGGAUAAUAUAUUGAACCGCAUGGUUCAAUAGUGAAAGACGGUUUUGCUGUCACUUAUAGAUGGAUCCGCGCCGCAUUAGCUAGUUGGUAGGGUAACGGCUUACCAAGGCAACGAUGCGUAGCCGACCUGAGAGGGUGAUCGGCCACACUGGAACUGAGACACGGUCCAGACUCCUACGGGAGGCAGCAGUAGGGAAUCUUACGCAAUGGGCGAAAGCCUGACGGAGCAACGCCGCGUGAGUGAUGAAGGUCUUCGGAUCGUAAAACUCUGUUAUUAGGGAAGAACAAAUGUGUAAGUAACUAUGCACGUCUUGACGGUACCUAAUCAGAAAGCCACGGCUAACUACGUG
rnacentral:rRNA from 1 species